rnacentral:rRNA from 1 species
UACGGAGGGGGCAAGCGUUAUUCGGAUUUACUGGGCGUAAAGGGUGCGUAGGCGGUCGCGCAAGUCUGAUGUGAAAUCUUCACCACUCAACGGGAAGAGGUCAUUGGAAACUGCGCGACUUGAGUUUGGUAGAGGCUAGCGGAAUUCCUGGUGUAGCGGUGGAAUGUGUAGAUAUCAGGAAGAACACCUGUGGCGAAGGCGGCUAGCUGGGCCAAUACUGACGCUGAGGCACGAAAGCGUGGGGAGCAAA